rnacentral:rRNA from 1 species
GACGAACGCUGGCGGCGUGCCUAAUACAUGCAAGUGGGACGCAAGGAAACACACUGUGCUUGCACACCGUGUUUUCUUGAGUCGCGAACGGGUGAGUAACGCGUAGGUAACCUGCCUAUUAGCGGGGGAUAACUAUUGGAAACGAUAGCUAAUACCGCAUAAUAUUAAUUAUUGCAUGAUAAUUGAUUGAAAGAUGCAAGCGCAUCACUAGUAGAUGGACCUGCGUUGUAUUAGCUAGUUGGUAAGGUAAGAGCUUACCAAGGCGACGAUACAUAGCCGAACGGGGAGGGUGAUCGGCCACACUGGGACUGAGACACGGCCCAGACUCCUAAGGGAGGCAGCAGUAGGGAAUCUUCGGCAAUGGACGAAAGUCUGACCGAGCAACGCCGCGUGAGUGAAGAAGGUUUUCGGAUCGUAAAGCUCUGUUGUAAGUCAAGAAAGUGUGUGAGAGUGGAAAGUUCACACAGUGACGGUAGCUUACCAGAAAGGGACGGCUAACUACGUG